AAGGCAUAAUGAGGAUGAAUUUAAAAAUCGUCUGAUUAUUAUGAUGAUUCAUAACCUCCUACUCAUUCUGA
rfam:Corchorus olitorius cultivar O-4 contig17904, whole genome shotgun sequence.